rnacentral:rRNA from 1 species
AUUGAACGCUGGCGGCAUGCCUUACACAUGCAAGUCGAACGAUAACAGGUCUUCGGAUGCUGACGAGUGGCGAACGGGUGAGUAAUACAUCGGAACGUGCCUAGUAGUGGGGGAUAACUACUCGAAAGAGUGGCUAAUACCGCAUGAGAUCUACGGAUGAAAGCAGGGGAUCGCAAGACCUUGUGCUACUAGAGCGGCCGAUGGCAGAUUAGGUAGUUGGUGGGAUAAAAGCUUACCAAGCCGACGAUCUGUAGCUGGUCUGAGAGGACGAUCAGCCACGCUGAGACUGAGACACGGACCAGACUACUACGGGAGGAAGCAGUGGGGAAUUUUGGACAAUGGGCGAAAGCCUGAUCCAGCAAUGCCGCGUGCAGGAAGAAGGCCUUCGGGUUGUAAACUGCUUUUAUACGGAACGAAAAGCCCCGGGUUAAUACCCUGGGGUCAUGACGGUACCGUAAGAAUAAGCACCGGCUAACUACGUGCCAGCCGCCGCAGUAA